rnacentral:misc_RNA from 1 species
GGUGCCUCAAGGAGCCCCACAAGUCCGAGGCCGCCUCCCGCGAGAAGGUCCACUUCGCCAUCUCCAAGUGGGCCGACGGCAAGCAGGAGAAGCCGACUGUCCGCACAGAUGAUGAAUAAACAUUUGGUGCCAUGGUGACAUAGUUCUUCCUACAGAUGUUUCAAAAAUGUUCUUGCCUUUCUUGCGAGCCGUUGUACCUGAAACUUGCUGUUAUCUGGCUGGAUUUUGUGGUCAACGCUGAAGAAUAA